CAGGGCAGGGGCGGCGGUGCAUUACCAUGCAAGUCGAACGAUGAUGCCCAGCUUGCUGGGUGGAUUAGUGGCGAACGGGUGAGUAACACGUGAGUAACCUGCCCCUGACUCUGGGAUAAGCGUUGGAAACGACGUCUAAUACUGGAUAUGACUGCCGGCCGCAUGGUCUGGUGGUGGAAAGAUUUUUUGGUUGGGGAUGGACUCGCGGCCUAUCAGCUUGUUGGUGAGGUAAUGGCUCACCAAGGCGACGACGGGUAGCCGGCCUGAGAGGGUGACCGGCCACACUGGGACUGAGACACGGCCCAGACUCCUACGGGAGGCAGCAGUGGGGAAUAUUGCACAAUGGGCGAAAGCCUGAUGCAGCAACGCCGCGUGAGGGAUGACGGCCUUCGGGUUGUAAACCUCUUUUAGUAGGGAAGAAGCGAAAGUGACGGUACCUGCAGAAAAAGCACCGGCUAACUACGUGCCAGCAGCCGCGGUAAUACGUAGGGUGCAAGCGUUGUCCGGAAUUAUUGGGCGUAAAGAGCUCGUAGGCGGUUUGUCGCGUCUGCUGUGAAAUCCCGAGGCUCAACCUCGGGCUUGCAGUGGGUACGGGCAGACUAGAGUGCGGUAGGGGAGAUUGGAAUUCCUGGUGUAGCGGUGGAAUGCGCAGAUAUCAGGAGGAACACCGAUGGCGAAGGCAGAUCUCUGGGCCGUAACUGACGCUGAGGAGCGAAAGCAUGGGGAGCGAACAGGAUUAGAUACCCUGGUAGUCCAUGCCGUAAACGUUGGGCGCUAGAUGUAGGGACCUUUCCACGGGUUUCUGUGUCGUAGCUAACGCAUUAAGCGCCCCGCCUGGGGGAGUACGGCCGCAAGGCUAAACUCAAAGGAAUUGACGGGGGCCCGCACAAGCGGCGGAGCAUGCGGAUUAUUUCGAUGCACGCGAAGAACCUUUACCAAGGCUUUGACAUACACCGGAAACGGCCAAGAGAUGGUCGGCUCCCCUUGUUGUCGG
rnacentral:rRNA from 1 species